UAAUGGCUCACCAAGGCGACGAUCGGUAGCUGGUCUGAGAGGAUGAUCAGCCACAUUGGGACUGAGACACGGCCCAAACUCCUACGGGAGGCAGCAGUGGGGAAUAUUGGACAAUGGGCGAAAGCCUGAUCCAGCCAUGCCGCGUGAGUGAUGACGGCCUUAGGGUUGUAAAGCUCUUUCAUCAGGGACGAUAAUGACGGUACCUGAAGAAGAAGCCCCGGCUAACUUCGUGCCAGCAGCCGCGGUAAUACGAAGGGGGCUAGCGUUGUUCGGAAUUACUGGGCGUAAAGGGUUCGUAGGCGGUGCGGCAAGUCGGAAGUGAAAUCUCUGGGCUUAACUCAGAGGCUGCUCCCGAAACUGCCGUGCUUGAGUGCGGGAGAGGCCAGUGGAAUUGCAGGUGUAGCGGUGAAAUG
rnacentral:rRNA from 1 species